UAUUUUGUAAUAUUUGUGUAACAAUGCAUAUUUAUGUAUUUCGGAUUGUUAAUGUUGUUAAUGAUGUGUAUCCAUCUAAUGAAGACAAUGUAUCCUCUAAAAAUGCUGAGCAACUACAGUUGGGAGAAUUGAGGUGAAGACAAGUACAUAUAUUUUCAAUAAGACGUGUGAAGAAACCAAAAGCAUAUAGAAUGUUAAGAUUCUGGACAUGGGGUGCCUUUAGGAGCAAGAUAAAACCAUCUAAGAUAAAAGAAUUAAUAAGCUUAAUAUCAGGUAUGCAUUCUUUCUGCAUAAUAUUGCAGUAAUUAGCUGUUCAUACAUUAACUUGCCGAAUUUUGAUUUGACCAGCAUUGCAACUGUGACCAAUUAGUUCUCCGAUUCACAGAUGAUUGGAGUUAGUGGAACAUGUUUUGUGUUUAAGGUGACUUUAUUUAGAGCUAAAUCAUUUUUAUUUUCCCAUAUAGUAUUAGAUAGCAUGGCUAAGAAAUAUAUUCCCAUGUAUACUAAUUCUAGUAUUACUUUAUUUAGAUUGUAUUACCAACAGGGCAAACAGUUGCAGUUAAAAGAGGUUUGCUUGAUCUUAAUGAGUUCAAAAAUGGACUGCCGAA
rnacentral:lncRNA from 1 species